GCCCCCGUGGCCUAAUGGUUAAGGCGUGAGCCUUCUAAGCUCGACAUUGCGGGUUCGAGUCCCGCCGGGGGUU
rnacentral:tRNA from 1 species